rnacentral:lncRNA from 1 species
CGCUCCGGCGCCGCUGUUUCCGCGCCGACGAAGGCUGGGGAUUUCCGUCCCCCCAGCCCCGGCGGGGUAACGAGACCUGUUGGCCGGCACGCACGGAGCCGUCCCGGGGCAGGAGAUGGGGCUGUGAAAAUGAUCUGAUGACAUCAGUAUGCUUCCCUGGCAACAAAUACUACAUCCUACCUACUUGUUCAUCAGUACAUUUGGGUAAAAACAGAAAAAGUGGAAAGGAGUAUGGAUGAGUACUAAGAGCUACUCUCUGAAGAGAUCCAGUGAUUCCUCAAGCAAGAUUAUUUCCACAUUUCCCUUGACCUCUUCAGUGACACUGAAGUACAGAGAUCUCAAUUGCUGAAUAUCAGUGGUAUAAGAUAGGGAUACUUCCUGCUGAACCAUUUGAUGAUACUCCAAAACAAGGUAGGAAACAGCCAUUUUUCAGAUUUUGCAUCUAGUCUUAGGUUCAUUCUUUUCACUUUUCACUUAUAUACGGUCUGCUGCACCUAAGACAGAAGCCUUCCUCAGCCAAGAAGCACAGGUGGAAUUAAAACAUUAUUGCAGGACAACA